AUGAAUCUGCAGCUCAGGUCACUGCUGGUCACUGCUGAGAUUAUCCACAUCAUGGGUCUUGGAUCCUGGGCACAAUCUGUGUUGACUCAGCCAUCCUCAGUGUCUGGGAACCUUGGACAGAAAGUCACCAUCUCCUGUGCUGGAAGUAGCAGUAACAUUGGAACCUAUAAUGUGCACUGGUAUCAACAGCUGCAAGGAACCUCCCCCAAGCUCCUCAUCUAUGAUAAUAGCAAACGACCAUCAUUGAUCCCUGAUCGCUUCUCAGGCUCCAAGUCUGGUAACUCAGGCACACUGAUCAUCAUGGGGCUCCAGCCUGAAGAUGAGGCUGAUUAUUACUGUAAGUCCUAUGAUGAUAACUUCAAUGCUCACACAUUGCUUCAGGUCCAUAUGGAAGUGAGACAAGACACCUUCCUGUUCUGCCACUAG